rnacentral:sRNA from 1 species
UGUGAGCUUAAAGGUUCCAUCUCUCCCGCAAAUAGUGGAGCAUCUUAUUGAUUGUUUGAAUUUUUUGAUUUCGUUUGCUUUAGAACAUAGGCUUGGUUAGUUUUAUGUAACCUUUUGUUUAUUUUCGUUGUUGGUUUGAUUGAAUAAGUUGCCAAAUGAUGAUUGAAAAUUUUGCGCAAGGGUUUUGAGUUUCGGAUGAUUGGAGUUUACUCUGGUCUGAAGGAACCGUGACAAAAUUAUUUUCUAAUAAUUCAUUCUGAUGGCAGCUCAAUCAUUGUUAGAUAUAUCAAAUUUCAAUUCGAGUUUUGGGUGCAUGGUUUGAUUCGGAUGGUUAAUUGUAGUUUGUUUUGUUAGUAGAAGCUUGGUUUUGGGGCAGCUUAAUGAAUUUUAGGAUUCAAGUUUUCAAAUCAUUUAGCCUAUAAUGUUCUGAAAUGUGUUGUGUAAUGGCUUUGAUUUCCUGAGGAUCUGACUAUAGAAUGUUUAAAAUCCUGAGGAACGGUGGGAAAUCAUGUAUUUGUGUUUCUUUUUUUUUUUAAGAUUCAGGUUCUACAAAUUAUGCUUAAAGGGCUUUGAGCUCCUGACCGCUUGUAUUAUGAGAUCCAAGAAAAUGUGAAAAGUCGUUUUUUUUUCCUUUCCCAUUUUGAUGGUUUGGGUUGCAUUUUACUGUUCUUUUAGUUAUCAUGACUAUGCUAGAUUCUGGUCUGGACAUAAGUUGCUUAAGAUGUGUGGAAAUUAUGCGUAAUGGAUUUAGAAUUGGCAAUUUGUUAUUUGAAGGAAUUCACUUCUAUAGAUAUCCUUUAAUGGCACCCGUUCAUGGUCAGCUCCAAAUAUGCAAGAAAUCGGAAAAUGCAUUAGUGUAGUCCUCUUUUCUGGUAUAUUGUCAAUACUCAAAUCUUACAUAAACUUUGUUUCAAGGACAAUGAAGCAUGUGGUCAAGAUUUUGAGCCUGCUGGUAGCUGUCUCUGCCUUUUAGUUUGCUCUCUUGCAGGCUGCAAUUAUGGCUCGUAGCCAAACAUAGUUGUUCCCUACCUCUCCUAAAGAAGCAGUUUUUCUGCAGCGGGUACUUUCAGUACUCUUUUCUUUCUUUGUUAACUCGAAUUGUUAAUUAAGGUUAAAUUAAGUUCUUGACUAGUGCUUUUGCUCCUAGCUGUUGUUAAUGUUGAUUAUGUACUAGUUUGUUUUGGUGCUAUUGUUAUAUUGCAGGAUAUUGCAGAUGCAAAAAGACUUCUUAAGCGCUAACGGAAUUGAUGUUGGAUCGGAUUUGACACAUUAUGGUUUACUUCUUUUCAACUCCCUAACCAGUGUAAUAGAAUACUUGGAGUCUUCGAUGGUUCAUAGAAAGAGUUCCCAUUUUCAUUAUGUACAGUCGUUUACUAUGUUUUUUUGAGAGAUGUACAUUGAGAAACCGGUGUUUGCAAUUGGAUU